rnacentral:rRNA from 1 species
CGGGAGGCAGCAGUGGGGAAUCUUGCACAAUGGGGGAAACCCUGAUGCAGCGACGCCGCGUGAGCGAUGAAGCCCUUCGGGGUGUAAAGCUCUUUCGACAGGGACGAUAAUGACGGUACCUGAAGAAGAAGCUGCGGCUAACUACGUGCCAGCAGCCGCGGUAAUACGUAGGCAGCGAGCGUUGUUCGGAAUUACUGGGCGUAAAGAGUGUGUAGGUGGUUGUCUAAGUUUGGUGUGAAAUCUCCCGGCUUAACUGGGAGGGUGCGCCGAAAACUGGUCAGCUAGAGUGUGGGAGAGGGACGUGGAAUUCCUGGUGUAGCGGUGAAAUGCGUAGAUAUCAGGAGGAACACCUGAGGUGUAGACGGCGUCCUGGACCAUUACUGACACUGAAGCACGAAAGCGUGGGUAGCAAACAGGAUUAGAUACCCCCGUAU